rnacentral:lncRNA from 1 species
GCAGAUUUUAUAAAUUAAUUCAGGUUUUCUUGGCUGAACAGGAAAAGUUGUUGGCUUGAUCUACAGGAAUUACUUGAAAUGGUAGGAAAAUCCAAGUUAAAACAGGCAGAAUUAUUAAGGAGCCGCCUCAACAUCCUGACCCGUGAUUUCCACCUGCAGCGGGAUUUUUUUGGAAUACAAGUCAUGAAAGGCUGGAAAAAUGCCCUAAAACCAACCCAACCUCUGGCUCAGUUCAGCACCAAAGGCUGUCCCCAAGAGCCACAGCCUGAACCAUUCCAGGGAUGGGCAUUCCACCUGCUCCAAUGCCUGAGCAACCUUCUGGUGGAGAAAUUCUUCCUGAUAUUUAAUCCAAACUCUCUUAAGGAACGUCUGGGAGAGAUUCCCAUUGGAUCAAGCUUCUCCAUGAGGUCACACGGGUAUAUCUGAUGCAGGAGUGGGUAUUUUUUUCCCCCAAUUUAUUAUAUUUUUUAAAAAAAAGAAGUUUAUUUUGAUGAGAAAGCAAAGGGAUCACGUUUCUUGAGCUGUUCCAUCUAUUCCUGCUCUUUAAUCCAGGGAUGGGAAUUGAUGCUGUGGUGGGAUUGCUCCUCUGGUGAGCUGGCAAUAAUGGAAAAGGAGAUUCCAUGGUUUCUGAAGGCUCCCUAACAGCUCUGUGGACAAUUCUGUGUGGUUUUUCUUACCUGGCUUCCGGAUUUAACAAUCAAUAAGUCCUGGGUAUUUUCUGCCCUUUCAGAAGUGUAAUUUCUCACACUGCAUUUAAAAAUUGGCUUUUUCCAAAGCCAUUUCUUGGAGUGGUUGGGGUUGAACAUCGCUGUUUAAGAUCAGCCCUUGACAGAAAUCAGUUUUCAAGUGAAAAAUGCUUUGCUGAGACACAGCAAGCUGAGAUCUGACAGUGCCUUCAGCAGCUAUUUUCAGUCUCUUCUCAGAGUUUUUAUGCUUCAUCCUGAGCCCUCCCUAGAGACUUGGUAAAGCAAAUAUGGAAAAUGCCACUGUGCUCUUUAUAAAAGUAGACUUAGAAGUGUUUCAAACCCCAAAGUUUAUCUGUCAGCAUCAGAGAAAGCUACAUUUCAUACACUGGGUGUGAUUUGUUUCUCAAUGACAGCUCCUGUUCAGAUCAUUUUGUUGUAAUUUUGACCGGGUUGGGUGAAUACUCUUUAAUUUUGGUGAAAUUUUGGGUUGUUUUGACAUUCCUGGUAUUUUUUCCAAAGGGAGCAGCUGUUAAAAAACUUAAUUGUUACGUGGAGUUUUCUCUUGGUGGCUUUGCUUCUUUUUUCAGAAUCACCUGAUUUUAGAAUAAGGGAAAGGAAAUGGGUAUUCACUCAAAAUUCUGCCACUGAUUUUCUCCAUGGCCUCUGGUCUCCUAUUUUUUUGCCAACCAAAUUCCAAGGACUUUCAAUCAAUGCAUUGAAAAUUUGGGUGGUAUUGUCCUGUAUCCCAGAAGAUUCCUUGGGAAUAUGACUCCACCUGGAGUGUGGGGAUGGAAUUAGAAGGUUUCUAUUGUGUAAUGGAGCAAAUCUAAGUCUUUUGUCACCUUGGAGGAUUUGGAAACUUAAUAUAAACAAAGAAAUAUUGACAGGUCUGGUUUCAGCUGUCCCCUUGCCCAUCCAAUCUCUAAGAUAUCCACGACAUAAAAAAAUUGAGAGUCUUUGCUCUUGAGCUGCCUUUCCAAAGGGGUUGAUCUGAUUUAUUCCACUGAAACUCUGAGUUCAAAGACAUUCCCUGUUUUGGGAGGGAUGUAAAAUUGUGGAAGAAAUUUCAUUGUGGUGUCUCCUCCCAGCUAAAUCAACUCCCUGAGUUAUAUUUAGCAGCGUGUGAUGCUCCUGAACUCGGGAACAAAUCUGUCUGGGCUUUCAGGGGGGCUUGGGAAUGAUGAAAACUGAUGCCCUGAAUGCAAUUUGUUUGGUUUUGUGCUUUCUGGCUUCAUAAACUCUUGGAAAUUGCUAUAAAUACAGCCAGGCACAAGGCAGCAGAACCAGAGGACGGCAUAAACCUCUCCACUGGAUUUUCCAGUUCCGUGCACACUGUCUUUGAAAUGCUCCUUUAAAAUAUGGAUUACUCAUUGUAUUCCUGUAGCCCUCAGAACAUGACAGGAAACCAGGGACUCUGAGGCCUUGUCACUCACAUCUGGGACAUCAGCAGGCUGAGGGAGAGGAGCCUAAAGGGUGAAGGCAAACAUUUAGCUGCAUAAAAAGAAGCGUUUUGACCCUUUCACGUGUCAGUCAUUCAUCCUGUCUGUGGCAGGAGACACCUGACAAAAGGCUGAAUUUUAUUGUCCCACCUUGUUACUGUCAGAUGCUCCUAAAUAACCUUUGUUGUUGCAGCUGCCAGGACUUCAGCUGAUAAAAGAUGUUUGGAUUCAGCUCAUCAUCCCUUUUCUGGAGCCAGAGAAGUGAGGCAACACUUCAUCUUCUCUGAAGGGUGGAAAACAGAACUUAAAGCCUCAAAGUCAAAGUUUUAAUUAUUGGGAAGCUGUUCCCUGCCCCAUUUGGGUAAAAUAAGAAAUUAGAGAAUAAGAGACAGAGUUUUUGGAAUAUUUGUUAAGCUGUGCAGGGCUGGAUUUCUUCUGGAAUUGAGACAUCAUUCCAGAAAACAAGGGAUAUAAUCUCCUCUGUAGCCUUGUGUUUCUUGAAAAUUAAGGUACAUUUCUUGUCUGCUGUGGGCAGAACUGUCCUGAAGCCCUAAAAGAAUAUAAGUGCUUUGAAUACAGUUAGCUUUCAGGCAAAAAAAAAAAAAAAAAAGUAUUAAAAUGAUGGGCAAAAAUUAUUCCUCCCCUCCCUUCCAUCAAGGCGCCCUUUUGAUGUUUGACACUCUGAUUAUUUUCUGAAAUUUAAAAAAAAAAAAAUAUCCACAUCCUGGUCUGCACAACAUUGAGGUCACUUCUCCUUGGUGGGUUUGACGUUGCAGGCAAGAACUGGAUCUUUGUGAGUGUUAGAGCACGUCAUGAGAAUUAGAUCAAGGUUUAUUGAGCCUUUCAGAAUCCCCUUCAAUCACCAGUGGAGAUCAGGAUGGACAGGCUCUACCUAGAGGUGCAAUUUCUGUAAUGGGUGAGGAGGAGGAAAUCAAUGGCAACCUCUGCCUGUCCUCUGGCACCACCACCAAAUAAAUCCUUUGCCUUCCCUCCA